UACGUAGGGGGCAAGCGUUGUCCGGAAUUAUUGGGCGUAAAGAGCGUGUAGGCGGUCCGGUAAGUCAGCUGUGAAAGUCAAGGGCUCAACCCUUGAAUGCCGGUUGAUACUGUCGGGCUAGAGUCCGGAAGAGGCGAGUGGAAUUCCCGGUGUAGCGGUGAAAUGCGCAGAUAUCAGGAGGAACACCGGUGGCGAAGGCGGGUCUCUGGGCCGUAACUGACGCUGAGGAGCGAAAGCGUGGGGAGCAAACAGG
rnacentral:rRNA from 1 species